AACCGAGAUUCCCCCAGUAGCGGCGAGCGAACGGGGAGGAGCCCAGAGCCUGAAUCAGCAUGUGUGUUAGUGGAAGCGUCUGGAAAGUCGCGCGAUACAGGGUGACAGCCCCGUACACAAAAGCGCAUGUGUUGUGAGCUCGAUGAGUAGGGCGGGACACGUGGUAUCCUGUCUGAAUAUGGGGGGACCAUCCUCCAAGGCUAAAUACUCCUGACUGACCGAUAGUGAACCAGUACCGUGAGGGAAAGGCGAAAAGAACCCCGGCGAGGGGAGUGAAAAAGAACCUGAAACCGUGUACGUACAAGCAGUGGGAGCACCCUUCGGGGUGUGACUGCGUACCUUUUGUAUAAUGGGUCAGCGACUUAUAUUCUGUAGCAAGGUUAACCGAAUAGGGGAGCCGGAGGGAAACCGAGUCUUAAUUGGGCGUUAAGUUGCAGGGUAUAGACCCGAAACCCGGUGAUCUAGCCAUGGGCAGGUUGAAGGUUGGGUAACACUAACUGGAGGACCGAACCGACUAAUGUUGAAAAAUUAGCGGAUGACCUGUGGCUGGGGGUGAAAGGCCAAUCAAACCGGGAGAUAGCUGGUUCUCCCCGAAAGCUAUUUAGGUAGCGCCUCGUGAAUUCAUCUCCGGGGGUAGAGCACUGUUUCGGCUAGGGGGCCAUCCCGGCUUACCAACCCGAUGCAAACUGCGAAUACCGGAGAAUGUUAUCACGGGAGACACACGGCGGGUGCUAACGUCCGUCGUGAAGAGGGAAACAACCCAGACCGCCAGCUAAGGUCCCAAAGUCAUGGUUAAGUGGGAAACGAUGUGGGAAGGCCCAGACAGCCAGGAUGUUGGCUUAGAAGCAGCCAUCAUUUAAAGAAAGCGUAAUAGCUCACUGGUCGAGUCGGCCUGCGCGGAAGAUGUAACGGGGCUAAACCAUGCACCGAAGCUGCGGCAGCGACACUGUGUGUUGUUGGGUAGGGGAGCGUUCUGUAAGCCUGUGAAGGUGUGUCGUGAGGCAUGCUGGAGGUAUCAGAAGUGCGAAUGCUGACAUAAGUAACGAUAAAGCGGGUGAAAAGCCCGCUCGCCGGAAGACCAAGGGUUCCUGUCCAACGUUAAUCGGGGCAGGGUGAGUCGACCCCUAAGGCGAGGCCGAAAGGCGUAGUCGAUGGGAAACGGGUUAAUAUUCCCGUACUUGGUGUUACUGCGAAGGGGGGACGGAGAAGGCUAUGUUGGCCGGGCGACGGUUGUCCCGGUUUAAGCGUGUAGGUGUGUGUUCCAGGUAAAUCCGGUUCACUUUAACACUGAGGCGUGACGACGAGGCACUACGGUGCUGAAGCAACAAAUGCCCUGCUUCCAGGAAAAGCCUCUAAGCAUCAGGUAACAUCAAAUCGUACCCCAAACCGACACAGGUGGUCAGGUAGAGAAUACCAAGGCGCUUGAGAGAACUCGGGUGAAGGAACUAGGCAAAAUGGUGCCGUAACUUCGGGAGAAGGCACGCUGACACGUAGGUGAAGUGAUUUACUCAUGGAGCUGAAGUCAGUCGAAGAUACCAGCUGGCUGCAACUGUUUAUUAAAAACACAGCACUGUGCAAACACGAAAGUGGACGUAUACGGUGUGACGCCUGCCCGGUGCCGGAAGGUUAAUUGAUGGGGUCAGCGCAAGCGAAGCUCCUGAUCGAAGCCCCGGUAAACGGCGGCCGUAACUAUAACGGUCCUAAGGUAGCGAAAUUCCUUGUCGGGUAAGUUCCGACCUGCACGAAUGGCGUAAUGAUGGCCAGGCUGUCUCCACCCGAGACUCAGUGAAAUUGAACUCGCUGUGAAGAUGCAGUGUACCCGCGGCAAGACGGAAAGACCCCGUGAACCUUUACUAUAGCUUGACACUGAACAUUGAGCCUUGAUGUGUAGGAUAGG
rnacentral:rRNA from 1 species